GCCAGGCAUGGUGGCGCAUGCCUGUAAUCCCGGCAGCUUGGGAGGCUGAAGCAGGAGGAUUGCAAAGCCAGCCUCAGCAAAAGCAAGGAGCUAAGCAACUCAGUGAGAUCCCGUCUCUA
rnacentral:sRNA from 1 species